UACAGAGGUGGCAAGCGUUGUUCGGAAUUACUGGGCGUAAAGGGCGCGUAGGCGGCCCACUAAGUCAGACGUGAAAUCCCCCGGCUUAACCUGGGAACUGCGUCUGAUACUGGAGGGCUUGAGUAUGGGAGAGGGAUGUAGAAUUCCAGGUGUAGCGGUGAAAUGCGUAGAUAUCUGGAGGAAUACCGGUGGCGAAGGCGGCUUUCUGGACAGAUACCGACGCUGAGGCACGAAAGCUAGGGGAGCAAACAGG
rnacentral:rRNA from 1 species